UUUUUUAANCUUAUUUAUUUUGGCGGCAAUUUAUCUUAUUAGAGGAACUUGUUUAUUAAUCGAUAAUCCUCGUUUAUUUUCACUAAUUUUAAAAGUUUAUAUACCGUCAUCUUAAGAGUUAACUUAUAUAAAGUUACUCAAAAUAAUUUUUAUAAAAAGAUAGAUCAAGGUGUAACAGAAAUUUUUGUAAAAAUGAGUUACAAUAAAUAUAUUUAAGAAUUAUUUUUAUAAAUUUAAUAUGAAAGAGGAUUUAAAUGUAAUAAAAUAAUAAAAAUUCUAUAUGAAUAAGAUAACAA
rnacentral:rRNA from 1 species